CCUACGGGCGGCAGCAGUGGGGAAUAUUGCACAAUGGGGGAAACCCUGAUGCAGCGACGCCGCGUGAGUGAAGAAGUAUUUCGGUAUGUAAAGCUCUAUCAGCAGGGAAGAAAAUGACGGUACCUGAUUAAGAAGCCCCGGCUAACUACGUGCCAGCAGCCGCGGUAAUACGUAGGGGGCAAGCGUUAUCCGGAUUUACUGGGGGUAAAGGGGGCGUAGACGGCAGCACAAGUCUGGAGUGAAAUGCCGGGGCUUAACCCCGGAACUGCUUUGGAAACUGUGCAGCUAGAGUGCAGGAGAGGUAAGUGGAAUUCCUAGUGUAGCGGUGAAAUGCGUAGAUAUUAGGAGGAACACCAGUGGCGAAGGCGGCUUACUGGACUGUAACUGACGUUGAGGCUCGAAAGCGUGGGGAGCAAACAGGAUUAGAUACCCUUGUAGUC
rnacentral:rRNA from 1 species